CUGGCAUCUGUGACUGGACACUGUGGAUACUCUAGUGGAUAAGGUAGACAGGACCCUGCCUUAUGGACUUUACAUUUUAGUGAGGUGACUUCCAAACCAUGGCUCAAGGUGGUUGCUUGAGCUCCAUCUGUUACACCUACAUCCCAGUCAUCAAAAGGAAACAGGACAUCUUUUCGUAACCAUCAAGUUUUGAAGGAUGUGGCAAAGCUCAAGGUCCAGAUGGUAGCAGGAUUUCAAGACCCCAGUGGGAGGCAAAGAUGUUGAAGAAUAAAGAGGCACAGGUCUGUGCACAGUCCUGCUACUUCAUUGGGGUGGGGGAAAGAUGAAGGAUCACUGGGAACUUGUUUACUUAAAAAGAGCUAUU